rnacentral:pre_miRNA from 15 species
GACCAUGAAAGCCCUUAGCCUGCUUCUGUGUGAUAUGUUUGAUAUUGGGUUGUUGAAUUAGGAGCCAACUAAAUGUCAAACAUAUUCUUACAGCGGUCAGCCAUUCGGCAUCACGCCCUU